GUCCACGCCGUAAACGAUGGGCACUAGAUGCCGGGUCUAUAGACGGAUUCGGUGUCGCAGCUAACGCACUAAGUGCCCCGCCUGGGGAGUACGGCCGCAAGGCUGAAACUCAAAGGAAUUGACGGGGGCCCGCACAAGCGGUGGAGCAUGUGGUUUAAUUCGAAGCAACGCGAAGAACCUUACCUGGGCUUGACAUCUUGGUGAAAGCCUCUGGAAACAGGGGCCCUCCUUCGGGACACCAAGACAGGUGCUGCAUGGCUGUCGU
rnacentral:rRNA from 1 species